AGACACCUUUAAAAUGAAGACACAAGGGAGGUGUUUUCAAUUCCGCAGCAUUCAUACCAGUGGGCCCAGGAAGGAAACAAGGUCCAAAGGUUUGGGGAAAGAUGGGUGAGGAACGGAACCCAAGCUGCUUGCGGUCUAGUCUUAAGAAUCCACAGUCUGUCCUAAUUCGGGAUGCAAUGUCCAGUGGAUGUGUUGGAUCUGGGCGAAUGCCCAAAUCACUGGAAGCAGCAAAACCUGGUUUGAUACCCUGCCUUGACUGGGCAACUAACUUGCCGGAUCUAAACCCCACUGAGAAUCGAUGGGGUUUUAUCAAGAGGAAAAUUAGGGUUACCAGACCCAGAAACAAAGGAGAACUGACAGCAAACAUUGUCUUCUGUAACUUGUAGGCAAUGCCACAAGCUGAUUGCCUCAAAGCCAAGGCGCAUUGUGACAGUGAUUUGGCAAAGGGAUUCCCAACUAGGCAUUGAAGAUAUUAUUUUGGAAGUAGCACAUUUUGAUUGAUUCAAUGUGACCCUAAUUGCUUUCUUUUUCUAACAAAAACACAAAAGUACAAAAAGGGUGAUUUCAUCACAGUAUUGUCAUUUUUUUAAUUCUUAAU